CAAUCCAGCUUCAGCACCAGAGACGGCAGGCGGGACGAGUCAACGGAGGCCGGGUGGACGAAGGCAUGCAGCUGAGUACAAUCCAGAAAACAACAGAGGAGGAGUGCAGCAGCCCAGUGCCAGAACACACAGAAUAGCAUCACCAAAGAACUACAGACUCUUCACAACCUGCUCAAACUCUUGGUACAGUACCUCACCACACGGGUCAAGAAGGUUUC